AUUGAACGCUGGCGGCAUGCUUUACACAUGCAAGUCGGACGGCAGCACAGAGAAGCUUGCUUCUUGGGUGGCGAGUGGCGAACGGGUGAGUAACAUAUCGGAACGUACCGAGCAGUGGGGGAUAACUAAUCGAAAGAUUAGCUAAUACCGCAUAUUUUCUGAGGAAGAAAGCAGGGGACCUUUGGGCCUUGAGCUGUUUGAGCGGCCGAUAUCUGAUUAGCUAGUUGGUGGGGUAAAGGCCUACCAAGGCGACGAUCAGUAGCGGGUCUGAGAGGAUGAUCCGCCACACUGGGACUGAGACACGGCCCAGACUCCUACGGGAGGCAGCAGUGGGGAAUUUUGGACAAUGGGCGCAAGCCUGAUCCAGCCAUGCCGCGUGUCUGAAGAAGGCCUUCGGGUUGUAAAGGACUUUUGUCAGGGAAGAAAAGGGCGGGGUUAAUACCCCUGUCUGAUGACGGUACCUGAAGAAUAAGCACCGGCUAACUACGU
rnacentral:rRNA from 1 species